AAUAGAUGACGCCAUUGACUUUUUCUCAUAUGUUUAACCAUUCAUCUUAUUUAAAAAAUUUACAUAAUUAUAAUUUAUUUUCUUAUGAGUUGUUUUAUCACUCAUAGUACUUUAAGUGUGAUUUAUAUAUUAUACAUUUGCAUAAAAUUUUUUAAUAAGACGAAUGGUCAAACAUGUGAGAAAAAGUCAACGGCGUCAUCUAUU
rfam:Oryza sativa Japonica Group DNA, chromosome 10, cultivar: Nipponbare, complete sequence.